rnacentral:rRNA from 1 species
UAACUGGUUAAUAACCAGUUGCCUGAUGUAACUUGGAGAGGAAGAGGUGGCUAACUCUGUGCCAGCAGCCGCGGUAAUACAGAGACCUCAAGCGUUAUUCGGAUUUACUGGGCGUAAAGGGUGCGCAGGCGGCCAAGUGUGUCGGAGGUGAAAUCUUGCAGCUUAACUGUAAAAUUGCCUACGAAACUACUUGGCUAGAGUAUCGGAGAGGAUAGCGGAAUUCCAGGUGUAGCAGUGAAAUGCGUAGAUAUCUGGAGGAACACCAAUGGCGAAGGCAGCUAUCUGGACGAUUACUGACGCUCAGGCACGAAAGCAUGGGGAGCGAAAGGGAUUAGAUACCCCUGUAGUCCAUGCCGUAAACGUUGUACACUAGAUGUUCGAGGAAUCGACCCCUUGAGCGUUCAAGCUAACGCGAUAAGUGUACCGCCUGAGGACUACGGCCGCAAGGCUAAACUCAAAGGAAUUGACGG